AACGAACGCUGGCGGCAGGCCUAAUACAUGCAAGUCGAACGCUCCAGCAAUGGAGAGUGGCAGACGGGUGAGUAACGCGUGGGAACCUUCCCAGUGGUACGGAAUAGCUCAGGGAAACUUGAGGUAAUACCGUAUACGCCCUUCGGGGGAAAGAUUUAUCGCCAUUGGAUGGGCCCGCGUCGGAUUAGCUAGUUGGUGGGGUAAUGGCCUACCAAGGCGACGAUCCGUAGCUGGUCUGAGAGGAUGAUCAGCCACACUGGGACUGAGACACGGCCCAGACUCCUACGGGAGGCAGCAGUAGGGAAUAUUGGACAAUGGGCGAAAGCCUGAUCCAGCCAUGCCGCGUGAGUGACGAAGGCCUUCGGGUUGUAAAGCUCUUUUGGCGGGGACGAUAAUGACGGUACCCGCAGAAUAAGCUCCGGCUAACUUCGUGCCAGCAGCCGCGGUAAGAC
rnacentral:rRNA from 1 species